rnacentral:lncRNA from 1 species
UUGUAGGCCUCCUCUGAACUCCCAAAAUGUGACCUAUGCCAUCACCGAGGCCGCAGGAACAAGAGGUGGGUGUCCAUGACAUUGGUACCUGUCAUCCCUGUGUGCAGCAGGUGUGCCCCACCCUGGAGGCAGCAGAAGAAGGUGAUGGGGGCAUGAACGAAGAUGCCCACUGACAUGCAUCCUGGGGCCAGGCCAGAUCCAGGAGAAAUGGGAAGCGGGUGGGGAGGGGAGGCCCGAUUCAGCCUGUGUCUGGGCCCAGGUUUCCCUCCAGAUAGAUAGAGGGAGGCAGGCCCCCAUGGCUCCUUACUGCUUGCCGGCACGCUCCAUGGCAGCACGGAUCCCCUUGGGAACGCUGAUCACGCCCUGCACAAGAUGCUGGCCCAGUAGUUCCUCAGCUGCAGCUGCCAUACCCAGCACAGCCUUGCCAAAGCCCACCAGGUAGAGGUUUUGCCUCAGCUGAAAGUUCCGGUCCCGCACCUUCAGCUGUCUGCCACCAGGGUCCAAGGAUAGUGCCCGGUGCAGCAUGGGGCCCGGCAGCACUGCACCUACAGCACUCUCAAACAGCUGCCUGGCCUGCUCUGCCAAGGCCAUGCUGCUGGCCAGACGGGCCACUGAGCCCCGCCAGAGGAGUGGAUGCAAGGGGGCUCGGGCCAAGCGGGGCAGGACCUGCAGGGCUGCAGCCAUGCCCCACUGCUCUCAGCACUGCCU